rnacentral:lncRNA from 1 species
GCUUUGAUUUGUCUUGAAUGUGUUAAGUAAGCCAUGUCAUACUAUUGUGAUUUUAUUGGUUGGUGGAUUAUAAAGUGGGCACUGCAGUGACGGGGGUUCCGUAGGCCAGCCUAAUUAGAGGGGCACGGUUCCCAAUUAUUGAGCUUACCUCGAUUGGAGAGGCGCAUAGGAUAACUCCCGAGGUAGGAUUUGAGUACACUUCACGUUGGCCACCACGUGAAACUAGGACUCAACCAACGCCGAGGAACGGCUGUGUUGUCAGAGGUGAAAUGUGUUUGUGUGUGUGACAAUAAAUAGCCUUGGCGGUCUCGGUAAGAUGCCUUCGCGGGGUAUCCCUGAGAAUGGAUUUUUGGCAAGGGCCAAGUUUUUG